GGAAGCCAUAAAAGUCGCCAGUGUGUC
rnacentral:piRNA from 1 species